CCUACGGGUGGCAGCAGUGGGGAAUAUUGCACAAUGGGGGAAACCCUGAUGCCGCGACGCCGCGUGAGUGAAGAAGUAUUUCGGUAUGUAAAGCUCUAUCAGCAGGGGAGAAAAUGACGGUACCUGAUUAAGAAGCACCGGCUAACUACGUGCCAGCAGCGGCGGUAAUCCGGAGGGGGCAAGCGUUAUCCGGAUUUACUGGGUGUAAAGGGAGCGUAGACGGCAGUACAAGUCUGGAGUGAAAUGCCGGGGCUUAACCCCGGAACUGCUUUGGAAACUGUGCAACUAGAGUGGAGGAGAGGUAAGUGGAAUUCGUAGUGUAGCGGUGAAAUGCAUAGAUAUUAGGAGGAACUCCGGUGGCGAAGGCGGCUUACUGGACUGUAACUGACGUUGAAGCUCGAAAGCGUGGGGAGCAAACAGGAUUAGAUACCCCAGUAGUC
rnacentral:rRNA from 1 species